GUUCGUGGCGCCGCGCCUCCGGGUGUUGGGGAGUCCGGGAUGAUGGGGAGUCCUGGGCUCGCCCUAGUCGCGGGGACACCGCCUUCCAGGAGCUGUCACCAGGCAAACUCACAGACAUCUUCAAAGAGGCUUCUUGGACAUUCUGCUUUUUGCUCCUCAUAACAGACUUCGGAAAGAGAACAGGCAAACAUCACUGCGGGCGCCUCUAGGGCUCGUUUCCCUGUCCCAGUACCGGGAAUCGGGGAGGGGUCCAAGCAGAGUUCACUUAGUUAACAAAUCAGUGAAGCAGUUGGAAAAUCUCAGUUAUAUUUUAAAUGAGAUCGAGGGCGGUGACUCACGCCUGUAAUCCCAGCACUUUGGGAGGCCGAAGCGGAGGUGGAGGGUCGCUUGAGGCCAGGAGUUCGAGACCAGCCUGGGCAACGUGGCUGCAGUACAGUGGCGUGAUCUCGGCUCACUGCAACCUCCACCUCCCAGGUUCAAGCGAUUCUCCUGUCUCAGCCUCACGAGUAGCCGGGAUUACAGGCACAUGCCCCCAUUCCCAGCUAAUUUUUGUAUUUUUAGUAGUGACGGGGUUUCAUCAUAUUGGUCAGGCUGGUCUCAAACUCCUGACCUCAGGUGAUCCGCCUCGGCCUCCCAAAGUGUUGGGAUUACAGGCGUGAGCCACCCACUAUAUCUCUUGUUCGGAGGAAUAUCUAAUCAAGAAAAUCAUUUUUACUGUUUUUUUUUUUUGGUUUGUUCGUUUUUUUCCUCUGAGAUGGAGUUUCACUCUUGUUGCCCAUCCUGGAGUACAAUGGCGCGAUCUCGGCUCACUUCAACCUCCGCCUCCCAGUGCGUCCGGAAUUGGUGGGUUCUUGGUCUCACUGACUUCAAGAAUGAAGCCGCGCACCCUCACGCUGCACCCUUCUGGUUACCGCUCGAACUGAGCUUUCGCUCGCCGUCCACCACUGCUGUUUUGCUGCCGUCGCAGACCCGCUGCUGACUUCCAUCCCUCCGAUCCAGCAGGGCGCCCGCUGUGCUCCUGAUCCAGGGAAGCACCCGUUGCCACUCCUGAUCGCGCUAAAGGCUUGCCAUUGUUCCUGCAUGGCUAAGUGCCUGGUUUCGUCCUAAUCAAGCUGAACACUAGUCACUGGGUUCCACGGUUCUCUUCCGUGACCCACGACUUCUAAUAGAGCUAUAACACUCACCGCACGGCCCAAGAUUCCAUUCCUUGGAAUCCGUGAGGCCAAGAACCCCAGGUCAGAGAACACGAGGCUUGCCACCAUCUUGGAAGUGGCCCGCCGCCAUCUUGGAAGUGGCCCACCACCAUCUUGGGAGCUCUGGGAGCAAGGACCCCCAGUAACACUGGCAGUACUUAUACUUUCAUUGGUUAUACUUAUACUUCCCUGGUUAUAUUUAUAUUUUCCUGGCAGUAUGUAUACUUUCAUGGUUUAUACUAUUUUAAAAUUAUUUUUUAUUAAAUGAAGCCAAAUUUUUUAAAA